ACAGCAAGCCAACAUUGAAUAAACAUUGUUUUUCCAUCUGAAUCAUCAUUAUGGUUGAUAUUGAAAUUUCAAUGCAAAAUAAAUGUUGAAUCACCAUUAUCAUAUCGAUGAAAACCUGAUGUUAUUAAUGUUGAUGGCAACAAUAUUGGAACAACAUUGAUCCAUAGUUAUCUUUAUGAUUGAUUAAGCAUUGAUAUUUGGUUACCGGGUGAUCCCUGAAUGUGUUGAAAAGUAAUUGAUUUAUAGUGGACAGAGAAACGAUGCGGUUGUUGAAAAGUCAUCGAAAUAUAGUUGACCGGGAAAUAUGAUAGAAAAUGCAUCGAAAUAUAGUUGACCGGGAAAUAUGAUAGAAAAUACAUCGAAAUAUAGUUGACCGGGAAAUAUGAUUGAAAAUCCAUCGAUUUUUGGUUGACCGGGAGAUCAACGGGUGGUAUACCCAACGUACUGCACCGGACACAGCUCAUUUCUGGACCCUUGGCACAAGUACAGGUAAGCUUGCUUAAUGUUCGAUAUGAACCCAGACAGCACAGGCACGCGGUGUGUUUUUAUACAGUCUGUGGGCAGCUGAAGAGACUGGCUCAUUUUCAAAUAAUGUUACCGUUAACUUGUUUAGACAACGGUCACGGUAAAUUAAUAUUAAAGCCUUUCGUGUCCAGCAGUUUCUCGGAGGGAAAAUGUAAAAGCAGUUUAUUAAAGAGAAGUCCUGACUGCUUUAUCGUCGUGUUUUUCACUCUUUUACAGGCUGCCAGAAAGAAUCUACUAUAUUCUACUAUAUUAAUCUUACUAUAGUGAGUGAUUAUUGAAUGAGGCUGUACAUUAUAAAUGUAAUGUUUUAACUCUAGAUGUUUGUUUGUGUGAAUGCUGUGUGUGCGGUGAGUUCUGCGCGAGGAGCAGAGUUGCCAUGAAAACGGGGCGUCAACACAAAAAACGUUACUGGCAAGCAGUAAUCUCCGUCUCUCGCUGCGGUUUACGCUGUUUUAGAAAUGGUUUAGUGUCUUCGAAAAAGUCCGUUAGCAUCUAUCUUAGCAGUUUUCAGAAAAGGCUGAUUUACUGAAUCGAUGACGUCACUUACACUGAGAGUGUAACGUUAAUCGGCUGAAAACAAGUUCACAUGAGUUUUGAUAUUUCAUGAUAAACAGAUAUUAAUACAAAUUGUUCUGUGAUUUCAGGUGGACAGAAAGAAACUAUACAGAACAAAGUGAAACUCCAAGAUUUUUGAAAAGAAAAUUGGUGAAAUAUAUUCUGAAAAAGGCAUAUUAAUGUAUUUCAUGAGCUUCUUCAGUAAAUCUGUAUUUCUAAGUCAGUAUCUCCCUUCAGAAAUGUGGCUGAAG